rnacentral:rRNA from 1 species
UACGUAGGGUGCGCGCGUUAAUCGGAAUUAUUGGGCGUAAAGCGUGCGUAGGUGGUGUGUUACGUCUGUCGUGAAAGCCCCGGGCUCAACCUGGGAAUGGCGAUGGAUACUGGCUCGCUAGAGUGCGGUAGAGGAGAGUGGAAUUCCCGGUGUAGCAGUGAAAUGCGUAGAGAUCGGGAGGAACAUCAGUUGCGAAGGCGGCUCUCUGGACCAGAACUGACACUGAGGCACGAAAGCGUGGGGAGCAAACAGG